UACGAAGGGGGCUAGCGUUGUUCGGAUUUACUGGGCGUAAAGCGCACGUAGGCGGCUCGUUAAGUUAGGGGUGAAAUCCUGGAGCUCAACUCCAGAACUGCCUCUAAUACUGGCGAUCUAGAGUCCGGAAGAGGUGAGUGGAACUCCUAGUGUAGAGGUGGAAUUCGUAGAUAUUCGCAAGAACACCAGUGGCGAAGGCGGCUCACUGGCCCGGUACUGACGCUGAGGUGCGAAAGCGUGGGGAGCAAACAGG
rnacentral:rRNA from 1 species